AGAUCCCUGUGUACCUGAGGCCUUCUAAAGGUGCUGUCUUCCAAAAUGGGAUCUGAACACAAGAUAUGAACGCACAAAGGAAGAUAUAGCUACAUAGGUGAAACUGCACUGAAAAAAUAUCAAGUGGAAAAUUAACCUCAUAUAAACAACCAUGCUAGGAAUAAAAAUAAAAAUAUUAAAUGCUCUGCGUGUACAGAAAGGCAGCUUGGAUACUGGCCUGCACCAUUCAGUGUUCUCAGCAAAGACUAAUGUUGCAUUACAAUGAAUGUCACUUUAAUGAGGCAGAAAAAAUUGGUCCGAAGACAGCCUGCUGAAUUCAAUCACCUGCUUCACUUGACAUGAGAAACUAGUCACAGGACAUGCCAUACACAGCCCCAGCAGUGACAGUGCUCCCUGUAACAAUAUGAAGUUGCAAAAGAUUUCAACCUGUG
ensembl:lncRNA